rnacentral:miRNA from 1 species
AGGUCAGAGGUCGAUCCUGG